ACAGCUGUGCCUGGAGGGCCACUGGAUCC
rnacentral:piRNA from 1 species